rnacentral:lncRNA from 1 species
ACUUCUCGCGGUAUCUGACUCCUAGGCUCCGCCCUCUGCACGCCGCUCACGGUAUCUGACGCUCAGGCUCCGCCCCCUGCAUGUCUUUGUUGGCAAACAGUUCUGGGGGUCGUCCGAUCCUGCAGAGACCGUCCAGGCUGGACUUGAACUCCUUCCUCGGCUGAAGUGAUCCUCCUGCCUCAGCGUCCUGAAUAGGAAGUGGAGCCAGAAUCCACAGAUGUCAUUAUCCAUCUGCACACUUUGUUUACUACCCAGAAGGCAAGAAUAUUGCAUUUUAAAAGUGCCCGGACUUUUGUUCUUUCUUAUCACAAAUGACUUGGGAAGCUCCGACCACUCAUGUUUACCCCGAGUGAAAGUCCCAUUCAAAGCCUUGCUUCCUGGAGAGCUUUGAGAUUCUGGUACAAAAGGCAUUUUAUAAGCACAAAGUGGAAAAGCAUCAUUCAUAUUCAUUUGCUGCUGCGGCAUUUCUCCCUGGAAUCUUCCUCUUGUCUGUCAACAUUGGGCAAAAGGACUGGCCUCAUCUACAUUACAGAUAUCCUUGUGAUGGUCUGGAGGUAGGAAAAGGACACCCAGCACAAGAGUGAGAAGGGAAACUCAAGCUCUCCUGUUGGAGAGUCUCAGGCUUCUUUAUCCAUAAAACUGAUUGGACAUAAUUGGUGUGGGUUUAUGAUUUGUUUUGGAAAAACCUGAGUAUGAAAUCAAUACUGUGCUUUGUGCA